AACGAACGCUGGCGGCAGGCCUAACACAUGCAAGUCGAACGCCGUAGCAAUACGGAGUGGCAGACGGGUGAGUAACGCGUGGGAACAUACCCCUCGGUUCGGAAUAACUCAGGGAAACUUGAGCUAAUACCGGAUACGUCCGAGGUUUUGAUCGACCUUGGAGAAAGAUUUAUCGCCGAAGGAUUGGCCCGCGUCUGAUUAGCUUGUUGGUGAGGUAAUGGCUCACCAAGGCGACGAUCAGUAGCUGGUCUGAGAGGAUGAUCAGCCACAUUGGGACUGAGACACGGCCCAAACUCCUACGGGAGGCAGCAGUGGGGAAUAUUGGACAAUGGGCGAAAGCCUGAUCCAGCCAUGCCGCGUGGGUGAUGAAGGCCCUAGGGUUGUAAAGCCCUUUCGGCGGGGAAGAUAAUGACGGUACCCGCAGAAGAACGCCCCGGCUAACUUCGUGCCA
rnacentral:rRNA from 1 species